rnacentral:lncRNA from 10 species
UUACUUCACAGGAAUCCCAGAUACAGGCCAUAGGUUUUUCUUUUUGUUCCCCUCUAGCUAGUUUUAAAUUCCAAGUGACAUCUUUCCCUGUGGGAAAUCAGCAAAGAUAGAGCUAUAGCUAGAGAUUAAAGCGGGAGGAGCAGGCUUGGAGAGAAAAUGAAAGGAAGAGAUAAGAUUAAAAAUCAACAUUCUAUGCAAAAAAGAGCCCAGAGCAAAGGGCCUAAGUGGCCACUUCCCCCAUCUCUGUCGUAACAACAGGCCGAUUCCUGCAUCCUGGCUGCCAAUUUCUUUAUGGUUCCUGAACUACCUGAAUUCUAUCCAUGGCCCCACUAGGAAGUUAUGAAGAUUUAACACUCCUGCCUUGGAAUAACACAAAUGCUCUCUGCCUCUGGAGAAACAGUACAGCACAGAGUGUGUCCUAAGGAACUUAAAGGAUGGAGUUGCUAUGUACAGAGAUGAGGAAGACUGCAGGAGCCCGAGUUUGUGGUGAGGAUGGGAAAUUAGAAGAUCAAAUAUGGACAAGAUUGUUGCAGCCGUGCAACUAAUCCUGCCUAAUGAGGUUCUUAUGAGUUGACUUGUGUUCCUCAAAAGGAUAUGCUGAAUUCCUUAACUCUAGUACUUUGGAAUGUGACCUUGUUUGGAAAUAAGGUCUUUGCAGUUGUAAUAAAAUAAGGUCCUUUUGGAGUGUGGGAGCUCAAUCCAAUGGCUGGUGUUUUUAUAAGAAGAGGAGAUGAGACACAGAAAGUGCCAUGUGAGGACACAAACAAAGGAAGAACACCAUGUAAUGACAGAGGCAGAGAUCUUCGUGACGCAGCUGCAAGGAAGGAACGUCGAGCAUUGAGCUGCUGACGGUGGCCCUCAAAGGAGGAAAGGAGGGAUUCCACCCAGGAUCUCAGAGAGAGCAUAGCUCUGCUGACACCUUGAUUUUGAACUUCUAGCCUCCAUCACUGUGGGAAAAUAGACUUCUGUUAUUUUAAAAAACCUGGUUUUUACAUGUUAUUACAGAAGACUUAGGGACCUAAUACAGAGGUAUAAGAAAAAGUUUUCAGGAGGAAUUUCUGGGAAUACUUCUUUAUAUGAGGCUUACAUUUAACUGGAAAUCUGACCAUGUUAAUCUGUGCUCCAGCUAGCACGUUAAAGCAUGUGGCAUAUGUGAGGAUGGGAUCCACAUCCUAGGGAUGGUAAGAGAACUGUGGAAUAAGCCUGGGUAGAUGGGUCAUGUUGUAAAGCUGCUAUACUAGUCCUGGAAGCCCUACCUCUGGCCUUCUUUAAUAUGAUAUUUAAAUAAACCUCUGUCUUAUGUAAGCAUAGCACUGUUUUUUUUUUUUUUUUU